rnacentral:lncRNA from 1 species
AGGGUAUGAUUACGCCUGCAAGCAAUGAAUGGGUCAGUAGGUAAGGAAUUAACCACAGUUCAUAUAAACACUUUCAUGGGCGUUUUCAACGUUGUACAUUUUUAUAUGCAUGGUAGCAUGAGUUCCUUCAGUACGCCAUAAUGAUUGAAACACACAUGUUACCUCUAUCAUAUACAUAUUUAGAAUACGAUAUGUUAUAGCAAAUUUAAGACAACAUUAACGGUCAAAAUAUAGAAAUUUCUUCAUGGGAAGUGCUAACGUAUGGCAUUUUCGCACGCGCUAUAAUUUGUUUUCAUAAAGCGAACAAGCGAAUAUAUGCGGCUUAACUUUAGUUAUCAUUUUUAUCUCGUUAUUCAUUGCCUUCGGAAAAAUAGCAAUAUUCUGUAUUAAGUAUACCUACUUAAGCCGCGUUCACACUAGCAGCCCAGGCCUGGCCUGGACCUGGCCUGGGUCUAGGUGUGAACGGGUUUUACCUGAGCCUGGCCCAGGCCAGCAAAUGUAGGUGGCCUGGCCUUGGCCUGGCCUGGGCCUCGAUCAUCACUGGUGUGAACGGGUUUUUCCUGGGCCUGGCCUGGGCGAGGCCCCGUUACCAUCGCAAUAUCUGCCCACGAUAAAAACUGGUCAGAUGAUUGUCAUACAAUUGGAGGGAAAAACAUUCAAAGCGCGAAAUUAAAUACUUUAGUGGAACACAAGGACGUUUAUAUUGACGCCUGAUUGCUUUGGCCUGGAGUUGGGCGUCAAGCCAGUGUGAAUGCGUCACAAUUGGCCCAGGUCAAGGCCAGGUCCAGGCCAGGUCUGGGCCGCUGGUGUGAACGCGGCUUUAGAGUAAUUUGAUAAAAAUCACGCCCGCUGAAAAAUAUCGAUAAAAGCCCCGUUAACAAUGUACAAUCUUCUGUAGAAAGUAUGCAAUGCGUUCAAACAACAGUAAAAAUCGAUAUAAAGCGAUAAAAUUACGUUUAUGUUAAUCUCUCGCGGGAAUGGUAGCGUGUUGCCGUACGUUAGGUGCAUGUGGACGAAUUAAUACGUAUUAUGAACGGUUUUGACGCGCUUUGGUUGCAGUGACUUGUUACUUUGGAAAUUAUAAUUAAAAAAUGGAAAUGAAUGACGUUACCUGGACUCGGUGGACUGAGAUUAUGACGUCAUUGUAAGAUUGGAAUCUGGUAGAUUGUUGCAUGAAUAAUCGAUAUAAUCUGUAAUUAAAUUUCCAAUUGUGGCAUAAUCGGUCAAUCAAUACGAUAUUGUCUGUAUAAUAGCGUCAUCUCUUAACUGAAGACGUUGUUGUCUGUCUAAUUAACUGUGUUUGCACUAGACGUUAAAGUCGUCUGUAGUAUAAAACGUCCAUUGUGGUGCUCAAGUUUAAUAUGUUUGUUUGAUUUUUCGUCAAGCUCACCAAAUGCAAGGCACGCAUUUAAGAUGUUUAACACUCCAACUCCAAUGAGAAUUACAAAGGUUUGUACCACUGACGUUUACUAAUUAGAAGUUAUCGCCUUCCCAUGAGGCACGAGAGCCUGUGAAGGAGGUUGACCAAUACCGCGGAAAAGCGCUCUGGGAUAAGGUUGCUAUGUAUAAGCGGGAGUAUCUAUUUGGAGCGGGUAGCGGGUCGCGGGUAAAAGGAGCGGGGAGCGGGUAAAAGGAGCGGGUAACUAAAAAAAGGAGCGGGUAAUUAAAAAAGGAGCGGGUAAAAGGAACGGGUUAUUAAAAAAGGAGCGGGUAAUUUUCCAGGUGUGCGUCGGCACUCAAAUCACUUGAGCCUGUUUGCUUUCUCUUGGACGACGCUCGAGAUUUACUGUGAAGGCAUUUAUAAUCGUUCAAAUCAUUCAUCAAUCCUAACCUCUUUAUUUGAAAAAAUCAGUUCUUUUUAUUCUAAAGGUAUGUCCCAUGUUUUUAUUCAACUAUUUUCACAUCUUUUAUGAUCAGAAUCAUUUUAAUCAUUUGCCAUUAUGAUGGCCGCCAUGUACGUAAGGCAUGUACGUACGCCUCCGGAAAGAUAUCUGAGCACUAGCCUAAAUAGCUGUAUUUCAACAAGGAGAAAAGCUAAAAACUUUCAACAAUACUUAAAAUUUAAUACAAAACGUGUUUCCAGAACGUAGAGCAGUUUUAAAGUUGUUUUCUCGGGAGACAAAGUGCGAAGUUUUUUUCGGCAUGUUCAAUCUUGUGUAAUAUAAUAAUUUUUGUCGUUUUGGUGACCCAAAAAUUAAACGUUGCGCUAGUGCAUGUGUACGUAUUUUCAGCACGUCAUAGUAAGACAUGUUCGGGCUGUUAAAUAUCUGUUAAUUUUCACAUUUGAUAGAAUUUUCGAGAUUUUUUAUGUGAAGUCAAUGGUUUCACUUAGUAAAAAUGGUCUUUUGUUGUUUACACUUUCAUAAAUAAAUGUCUUUUUUUACUUUAAAUUCCCCACCGGCGCUUAGCACCUGGGAAAUUACCCUCUCCUUUUUUAAAAACCCGCUCCUUUUAUCCGCUCCUUUUUUAAUUACCCGCUCCUUUUAUCCGCUCCCCGCUCCAAAUAGAUACUCCCUGUAUAAGCUAUCUUGGGAAAGCAAUUUUUGCAUGUUAAUUAAAGCAAUUUUCCUUGAAAGACAUUGAUCUCGAACCUGUUUAUGGAAGCGACUCCAUAAAACCUAUGUUCCAGAAAUUUCAGAUCUAGAGUGUAUAUCACAUUAAUUCACAUCGGGCCGGUCGUCCGAAAGCUGGUUUGCUUAAUCUUAGGUUAACGUAGGGCAGCUUUUUUAUAAACUUGGAAAUCUUUCCCAGAAAUUUUCUCUGGAUCAAACGGACCUGCAAAAAUUCCAAAAGUGAGUUAAAUUUUAGGCCGGGGUUAGUGCUUCUCGGAUUUCGAACGACUGACCAAAGUACGUUAAUGGGGGGUUGGAAUUGUACAUAGUAAAGUCCUUAUUUCCAAUCUGUAUUUAUAGAUCACCAGGACGCCAAGAACAUUGAAUAAUUUGGAUUUUCCAAAUCCACCAGAAUUUUCUUUAUCUCCUCAUGUUGAACUUGAUGAUAUGUAAAAACGUUCAAGUAUGAAUAGUAUGUAGAAGACCAGAAAAUUUUCAGAAAAAGUCACAUUCUGAUGGCAUUUUUGUUACAAGCUGCUAACUGGCAUUUUCUUAAGACAAUAUUUUUGUUGGCAGCUCUGAUUUUGACUUUGCAGCCGAAAAUUUGAAUUUUGCUUAAAGAGUACCAUGUUGACCAAAAAUGCAAAUUUUCAGAUUCACUUUCCGCAAAAUUAACUACACCAUUAGAAAGUUCGCAAAAAGUAUACACAAGGCAUUUAAGUAAGUUGUCCGAUUUUUCAAGCCGGUUUUGAUUUAAGGAUCUCAAAGUUGGAAAAUAGUAACUUAAUAGCAUAAAUUAGUGUACUUUUCAUAUCUUUGAGUGUUAAUUUCAAAAUCAG